CAGCCGCCACGGGAAUACGGAGGGUGCAAGCGUUAUCCGGAUUUAUUGGGUUUAAAGGGUCCGUAGGCGGAUCUGUAAGUCAGUGGUGAAAUCUAACAGCUUAACUGUGAAACUGCCAUUGAUACUGCAGGUCUUGAGUAAAUUUGAAGUGGCUGGAAUAAGUAGUGUAGCGGUGAAAUGCAUAGAUAUUACUUAGAACACCAAUUGCGAAGGCAGGUCACUAAGAUUUAACUGACGCUGAUGGACGAAAGCGUGGGGAGCGAACAGGAUUAGAUACCCCUGUAGUCCCUGUCUCUUAUAC
rnacentral:rRNA from 1 species